AUACGUAGGGGGCGAGCGUUGUCCGGAAUGAUUGGGCGUAAAGGGCGCGUAGGCGGCCCGGUAAGUCUGGAGUCAAAGUCCUGUUUUUAAGAUGGGAAUUGCUUUGGAUACUGUCGGGCUUGAGUGCAUGAGAGGUAAGUGGAAUUCCCAGUGUAGCGGUGAAAUGCGUAGAGAUUGGGAGGAACACCAGUGGCGAAGGCGACUUACUGGACUGUAACUGACGCUGAGGCGCGAAAGUGUGGGGAGCAAACAGGAUUAGAUACCCUGGUAGUCCACACUGUAAACGAUGAAUGCUAGGUGUAGGGGGUAUCGACCCCUUCUGUGCCGCAGUCAACACAAUAAGCAUUCCGCCUGGGGAGUACGGCCGCAAGGUUGAAACUCAAAGGAAUUGACGGGG
rnacentral:rRNA from 1 species